UACGACUACAUAUCAGGCAUAUCAAUAAGCGGAGGAAAAGAAACUAACAAGGAUUCCCUUAGUAACGGCGAGUGAAGCGGGAAGAGCUCAAAUUUGAAAUCUUCAAGGUUUUACCUUGACGAAUUGUAGUUUAAAGAAGUGUUUUCUGUUGAAGUUUCGGUAAAAGUUCUUUGGAAUAGGACAUCAUAGAGGGUGAGAAUCCCGUAUUUGACCGUUAUUUUCAGCUGUGUGAUACACUUUCAAAGAGUCGGAUUGUUUGGGAAUGCAGUCCAAAAUGGGUGGUAAAUUUCAUCUAAAGCUAAAUAUUGGCGAGAGACCGAUAGCGAACAAGUACCGUGAGGGAAAGAUGAAAAGAACUUUGAAAAGAGAGUUAAACAGUACGUGAAAUUGUCAAAAGGGAAGCGUUUGACACCAGUGUUGUUUUCUCGAAAAUCAAUUAAAAAAGGAUUGUGAUUUUGUGUUGUAUUGACCUUAUCAAGCUUUCUUCACUUUUUUCUUGUCUUUUUUAAUGCACUUUUCGUUUAACAAGUCAACAUCAAUUUCUUUUGUUGUAAAAGAGUCAUUGGAAGGUGGCUUUCACUUCGGUGAAAGUGUUUAUAGCCUUUGGCUUCUGCAAUCGGAGAGAUUGAGGUCUGCAGCGUAGAUCCUUCGGGGUUAGAUACGUAGAUGCUAAGUUAUAGUUUUUCAUAGACAACUUGUUGACUAUGAUUAAUCAUGUAGCUUACUCGUUUGCGCUAUUUUACCUACGCUUAGGAUGUUGACGCGCGUGUGUGCGUG
rnacentral:rRNA from 1 species